rnacentral:other from 1 species
AAGCUGCGGGAUGAUGCAAACUUCUGGAUGAAGAAGCGGAUGCGCCCACUGAAGGGCGGCGGAUGGCGUCAGGGCGAUGCGCAGGAUGUUUCAGGAAAGAAACCAGGGACACCUCCAGGACGGAGAUUGAGAGCCGGUACGGGAUGGCCGGUGGGUCAGGGAGACCGAGGACCGCGUCAGGACGAUGCUAGUUAAAGGAUAGGCAUGGACGUUGGGUCAGGAUGGCCACAGGAAAAGUUUUCAGGGAUUGAGCAGGGAGCAUUCCGUGUAGCGGGAAAGCUAUAAAACGAACCGGGGGCACUGUUAAUACAGUGCCCCCAACUUUUUGC